GGAGGGGUGCAAGCGUUAUCCGGAUUUAUUGGGGUUUAAAGGGUACGUAGGCGGUAGAGUCAGUCAAUGGGUGAAAGCCAACAGCUUUAACUGUUGAAUUGCCGUUGAUACUGCUUUACUUGAGUACAGUCGAAGUAGGUGGAAUUCCACAUGUAGUGGUGAAAUGCAUAGAUAUGUGGAGGAACGCCGAUAACGAAAGUAGCUUACUAGGCUGUUACUGACGCUGAGGUACGAAAGCGUGGGGAGCAAACGGGAUUAGAGACCCCGGUAGUCCACGCUGUAAACGAUGGUCACUCGGUGUAUAUCUUCGGAUAUGUGCCCAAGCGAAAGCAUUAAGUGACCCACCUGGGGAGUACGCUCGCAAGAGUG
rnacentral:rRNA from 1 species